GCCUCCUUAGCUCAGUUGGUAGAGCAGCUGAUUUGUAAUCAGCCGGUCACUGGUUCGAGUCCGGUAGGGGGCUCAA
rnacentral:tRNA from 1 species